UGAGGAAUAUUGCGCAAUGGAGGCAACUCUGACGCAGCCAUGCCGCGUGCAGGAAGAAGGCGCUACGCGUUGUAAACUGCUUUUACCCGGGAAGAAACCCCUCUACGUGUGGAGGGUUGACGGUACCGGAGGAAUAAGCACCGGCUAACUUCGUGCCAGCAGCCGCGGUAAUACGAAGGGUGCAAGCGUUAUCCGGAUUCAUUGGGUUUAAAGGGUGCGUAGGCGGAACGUUAAGUCAGUGGUGAAAUCC
rnacentral:rRNA from 1 species